GAUGAACGCUGGCGGCGUGCCUAAUACAUGCAAGUCGAGCGAACAGACGAGGAGCUUGCUCCUCUGACGUUAGCGGCGGACGGGUGAGUAACACGUGGAUAACCUACCUAUAAGACUGGGAUAACUUCGGGAAACCGGAGCUAAUACCGGAUAAUAUAUUGAACCGCAUGGUUCAAUAGUGAAAGACGGUUUUGCUGUCACUUAUAGAUGGAUCCGCGCCGCAUUAGCUAGUUGGUAAGGUAACGGCUUACCAAGGCAACUAUGCGUAGCCGACCUGAGAGGGUGAUCGGCCACACUGGAACUGAGACACGGUCCAGACUCCUACGGGAGGCAGCAGUAGGGAAUCUUCCGCAAUGGGCGAAAGCCUGACGGAGCAACGCCGCGUGAGUGAUGAAGGUCUUCGGAUCGUAAAACUCUGUUAUUAGGGAAGAACAAAUGUGUAAGUAACUAUGCACGUCUUGACGGUACCUAAUCAGAAAGCCACGGCUAACUACGUG
rnacentral:rRNA from 1 species